GACGAACGCUGGCGGCGUGCUUAAUACCUGCAAGUCGAGCGAUAAUCUCACCUUCGGAUGAGAUUAGAGCGGCGGACGGGUGAGUAACGCGUGGGCAAUCUGCCCUCUAGCCUGGGAUAACAGUUCGAAAGGACUGCUAACACCGGAUAUGCUCACAGCCUGGCAUCAGGUGGUGAGGAAAGUGCGGCCAAUGGCCGAGCACUAGAGGAUGAGCCCGCGUCCCAUUAGCUAGUUGGUGAGGUAACGGCCCACCAAGGCGACGAUGGGUAGCCGACCUGAGAGGGUGAACGGCCACACUGGGACUGAGACACGGCCCAGACUCCUACGGGAGGCAGCAGUAGGGAAUUUUCCGCAAUGGGCGAAAGCCUGACGGAGCAACGCCGCGUGAGGGAAGAAGGUCUUCGGAUCGUAAACCUUUGUCUAGAGGGACGAUAAUGACGGUACCUCUGGAGGAAGCCACGGCUAACUACGUGCCAGCAGCCGCGGUAAUACGUAGGUGGCGAGCGUUGUCCGGAAUUACUGGGCGUAAAGGGCGUGUAGGCGGCCUUUUAAGUCAGACGUGAAAUCUCUGGGCUUAACCCAGAAAUUGCGUUUGAAACUGGAGGGCUUGAGGAUCGGAGAGGGCAGUGGAAUUCCCAGUGUAGCGGUGAAAUGCGUAGAUAUUGGGAGGAACACCAGUGGCGAAGGCGACUGCCUGGACGACACCUGACGCUGAGGCGCGAAAGCUAGGGGAGCAAACGGGAUUAGAUACCCCGGUAGUCCUAGCCGUAAACGAUGGGUACUAGGUGUGGGAGGUAUCGACCCCUUCCGUGCCGCAGUUAACACAAUAAGUACCCCGCCUGGGGAGUACGGCCGCAAGGUU
rnacentral:rRNA from 1 species